rnacentral:rRNA from 1 species
UAACGAAUAUUGGGCAAUGGGCGCAAGCCUGACCCAGCAAUGCCGCGUGCAGGAGGAAGUCCUUCGGGAUGUAAACUGCUGUCAGGGGUCAACAAGCAAAGGGACCUAAUACGUCCUGGCGUUGAGUCGCCCCAGAGGAAGCCUCGACUAACUCUGUGCCAGCAGUCGCGGUAAGACAGAGGAGGCGAGCGUUGUUCGGAAUCACUGGGCUUAAAGCGCGUGUAGGCGGCCUGGUAAGUGUCGUGUGAAAUCCCAUGGCUCAACCAUGGAACUGCACGGCAAACUGCCUGGCUUGAGGGCGGUAGAGGUGCCUGGAACUCUAGGUGGAGCGGUGAAAUGCGUAGAUAUCUAGAGGAACGCCAGAAGCGAAAGCGGGGCACUGGGCCGAUUCUGACGCUGAGACGCGAAAGCGUGGGGAGCAAACA